rnacentral:rRNA from 1 species
GAUGAACGCUGGCGGCGUGCCUAAUACAUGCAAGUCGAGCGAACAGACGAGGAGCUUGCUCCUCUGACGUUAGCGGCGGACGGGUGAGUAACACGUGGAUAACCUACCUAUAAGACUUGGAUAACUUCGGGAAACCGGAGCUAAUACCGGAUAAUAUAUUGAACCGCAUGGUUCAAUAGUGAAAGACGGUUUUGCUGUCACUUAUAGAUGGAUCCGCGCCGCAUUAGCUAGUUGGUAAGGUAACGGCUUACCAAGGCAACGAUGCGUAGACGACCUGAGAGGGUGAUAGGCCACCCUGGAAUUGAGACACGGUCCAGACUCCUACGGGAGGCAGCAGUAGGGAAUCUUCCGCAAUGGGCGAAAGCGUGACGGAGCAACGCCGCGUGAGUGAUGAAGGUCUUCGGAUCGUAAAACUAUGUUAUUAGGGAAGAACAAAUGUGUAAGUAACUAUGCACGUCUUGACGGUACCUAAUCAGAAAGCCACGGCUAACUACGUG